AGCGGAUGAGAGGAGCUUGCUCCUCGAUUUAGCGGCGGACGGGUGAGUAAUGCCUAGGAAUCUGCCCAGUAGUGGGGGACAACGUUUCGAAAGGAACGCUAAUACCGCAUACGUCCUACGGGAGAAAGUGGGGGAUCUUCGGACCUCACGCUAUUGGAUGAGCCUAGGUCGGAUUAGCUAGUUGGUAGGGUAACGGCCUACCAAGGCGACGAUCCGUAACUGGUCUGAGAGGAUGAUCAGUCACACUGGAACUGAGACACGGUCCAGACUCCUACGGGAGGCAGCAGUGGGGAAUAUUGGACAAUGGGCGAAAGCCUGAUCCAGCCAUGCCGCGUGUGUGAAGAAGGCCCUCGGGUCGUAAAGCACUUUAAGUUGGGAGGAAGGGCUUACAGCGAAUACCUGUGAGUUUUGACGUUACCAACAGAAUAAGCACCGGCUAACUUCGUGCCAGCAGCCGCGGUAAUACGAAGGGUGCAAGCGUUAAUCGGAAUUACUGGGCGUAAAGCGCGCGUAGGUGGCUUGAUAAGUUGGAUGUGAAAUCCCCGGGCUCAACCUGGGAACUGCAUCCAAAACUGUCUGGCUAGAGUGCGGUAGAGGGUAGUGGAAUUUCCAGUGUAGCGGUGAAAUGCGUA
rnacentral:rRNA from 1 species